rnacentral:rRNA from 4 species
CCUGGUUGAUCUUGCCAGUAGUCAUAUGCUUGUCUCACAGAUUAAGCCAUGCAAGUGAAAGUACAUAUGUAAAUAAUAUAUUGAAACUGCGAACGGCUCAUUAAAACAGUUAUAAUCUACUUGAUGUUUUUAAUAUAAGGAUAACUACGGAAAAUCUGUAGCUAAUACUUGUGAAAAUACCUUUUGAUAUAUACAUAUGUAUGUAUCAUUAAGGUAUGUAUUUGUUAGAUAUAAGAAUAAAAUAAAUAUAAUUGAAUUAUAACAAAGAAGAAACACAUAAAAUAUGUGUAUUAUCAAUCGAGUAUCUGACCUAUCAGCUUUUGAUGUUAGGGUAUUGACCUAACAUGGCUAUGACGGGUAACGGGGAAUUAGAGUUCGAUUCCGGAGAGGGAGCCUGAGAAAUAGCUACCACAUCUAAGGAAGGCAGCAGGCGCGUAAAUUACCCAAUUCUAAAAAAGAGAGGUAGUGACAAGAAAUAACAAUACAAUAUCGAAAAAUGAUUUUGUAAUUGGAAUGAUAGGAAUUUACAAGGUUCCUAGAGAAACAAUUGGAGGGCAAGUCUGGUGCCAGCAGCCGCGGUAAUUCCAGCUCCAAUAGCAUAUAUUAAAAUUGUUGCAGUUAAAACGUUCGUAGUUGAAUAUUAAAGAAUCCGAUGUUUCAUUUAAACUGGUUUGGGAAAACCAAAUAUAUUAUAUAUUUUGCUUUGUUCAAAAUAAGGUUUUCUAAUAAAUUAUGUUUUUAUCAGAUAUGACAGAAUCUUUUUUAAAAUCUCUUCAAUAUGCUUUUAUUGCUUUUGAGAGGUUUUGUUACUUUGAGUAAAAUUAAGUGUUCAUAACAGACGGGUAGUCAUGAUUGAGUUCAUUGUGUUUGAAUACUACAGCAUGGAAUAACAAAUAUGAAUAAGCUAAUUAUUUUUUUUUUUCAUAAUUUUUUUUGAUAUUCUUAUUAGCUUAGUUACGAUUAAUAGGAGUAGCUUUGGGGGCAUUCGUAUUCAGAUGUCAGAGGUGAAAUUCUAAGAUUUUCUGGAGACGGACUACUGCGAAAGCAUUUGCCUAAUCUAUUUCCAUUAAUCAAGAACGAAAGUUAAGGGAGUGAAGACGAUCAGAUACCGUCGUAAUCUUAACCAUAAACUAUACCGACUAGGUGUUGGAUGAAUAUAAAAAAUAUAUAAAUAUGUAGCAUUUCUUAGGGAAUGUUGAUUUUAUAUUAGAAUUGCUUCCUUCAGUACCUUAUGAGAAAUCAAAGUCUUUGGGUUCUGGGGCGAGUAUUCGCGCAAGCGAGAAAGUUAAAAGAAUUGACGGAAGGGCACCACCAGGCGUGGAGCUUGCGGCUUAAUUUGACUCAACACGGGAAAACUCACUAGUUUAAGACAAGAGUAGGAUUGACAGAUUAAUAGCUCUUUCUUGAUUUCUUGGAUGGUGAUGCAUGGCCGUUUUUAGUUCGUGAAUAUGAUUUGUCUGGUUAAUUCCGAUAACGAACGAGAUCUUAACCUGCUAAUUAGCGGUAAGUACACUAUAUUUUUAUUUGAAAUUGAAUAUAGGUAAUUAUACAUGUUUAUUCAGUGUUCAAAUUAGGAUAUUUUUUUAUUAAAAUAUUCUUUUCCCUGUUCUACUAUAAUAAUUUGUUUUUUUUUACUCUAUUUCUCUCUUCUUUUAAGAAUGUACUUGUUUGAUUAAAUAAAGCUUCUUAGAGGAACAGUGUGUAUCUAACACAAGGAAGUUUAAGGCAACAACAGGUCUGUGAUGUCCUUAGAUAAACUAGGCUGCACGCGUGCUACAAUGAUAUAUAUAACAAGUUGUUAAAAAUGUACUUAUAAAUAAGUGUGUACAGUUUUUCCUGUACUGAAAAGUAUAGGUAAUCUUUAUCAGUAUAUAUCGUAAUUGGGAUAGAUUAUUGCAAUUAUUAAUCUUGAACGAGGAAUGCCUAGUAAGCAUGAUUCAUUAGAUUGUGCUGACUACGUCCCUGCCCUUUGUACACACCGCCCGUCGCUCCUACCGAUUGAAAGAUAUGAUGAAUUGUUUGGAUAUGAAUUAAAAUAAUGAAAUUUUAUAUUUCUGAUUUUUUCUAGAAGAACUGUAAAUCCUAUCUUUUAAAGGAAGGAGAAGUCGUAACAAGGUUUCCGUAGGUGAACCUGCGGAAG